rnacentral:lncRNA from 1 species
UGAGGAUUGCCUAGUCAAACCUAGAUGUGCCUGAAAUUCGGGAUUUGACUAUAACAUAUAUACCAAAAUCAGAUAAAUAUCUCUUCAAAGUUUAUUUUGAGAGUUUCUUCAAAAAUUGCAUUUCAGACUGUUCAGGAUAGCAUAGGAGGUGACUGGUGAAUUAAAAAGAAUUGAUUUACUUACAAGAAAAGAUAUAACAAACAUUAAACACUCUUAUGGCACUGAUUUGAAAGAUAGAUAUAGGUACAAAGAUGACACAACCAGUGUUCAUUUUUGGGUUGGACGCUUACAGACGACGUCAUGUCCAAUAUUAUUUUACAAACAACAGGGCAUGCUAAUGGAUAUUCAUCCUGAAUUUAACAUUUAUGAUGUUUGUCUUAUUUUCAUGAAUGCUGUGCCAAAAGGAAAUGUUAAUUAAGUUUUGUAAAUCCUUUAUCGCAAUCCAUGGAACUCAUGGACUCAAUUCCUAUGACUUUGAACUUACAACAGUAUUAAUAAAGAUGAAUUUGGUAAUGGA